GGCGCUAUAGUGUAGUGGUUAUCACCCGGGAUUCUGAUACAGUACCUGUGUACAGAAGAAAUCACAUUCCCGUGACCCAGGUUCGAGCCCUGGUAGUGCCU